rnacentral:tRNA from 1 species
GUGCCUGUAGCUCAGCUGGAUAGAGCAACAGACUCCGACUCUGUAGGUCAUGCGUUCAAAUCGCACCAGGCACGCCA